rnacentral:tRNA from 1 species
GGAUCCUUAGCUCAGCCGGUUAGAGCAUCUGACUCAUAAUCAGAGGGUCGCAGGUUCAAAUCCUGCAGGAUCCACCA